rnacentral:misc_RNA from 1 species
AGCUCAGUAUUCCAAAUGGGUCCCCUGAAAUAUCUCAAAAGUAAAAGUGUUAAAUAAGGAACAAAUUAACACCAUAAAUUAAGGAAGAAACCAAUGAAAAACAACUAAAACGUACCAAAUUACCCUAAAUAUGGUUAUAUAAAUAGAACCCUAAAGUAUGUGAAGCCUAAAUGGUAUGUACAAGUGUCCACGAAAGAAUGGU